rnacentral:rRNA from 1 species
GAUGAACGCUGGCGGCGUGCCUAAUACAUGCCAGUCGAGCGAACAGACGAGGAGCUUGCUCCUCUGACGUUAGCGGCGGACGGGUGAGUAACACGUGGAUAACCUACCUAUAAGACUGGGAUAACUUCGGGAAACCGGAGCUAAUACCGGAUAAUAUAUUGAACCGCAUGGUUCAAUAGUGAAAGACGGUUUUGCUGUCACUUAUAGAUGGAUCCGCGCCGCAUUAGCUAGUUGGUAAGGUAACGGCUUACCAAGGCAACGAUGCGUAGCCGACCUGAGAGGGUGAUCGGCCACACUGGAACUGAGACACGGUCCAGACUCCUACGGGAGGCAGCAGUAGGGACUCUUCCGCAAUGGGCGAAAGCCUGACGGAGCAACGCCGCGUGAAUGAUGAAGGUCUUCGGAUCGUAAAACUCUGUUAUUAGGGAAGACCAAAUGUGUAAGUAACUAUGCACGUCUUGACGGUACCUAAUCAGAAAGCCACGGCUAACUACGUG